GCCCUCCUCAUGCUCACCACAGGCUGUGUUCUUAUGCUGACUCUCUAUAGAAAGGAGGCAGAGUAAACCCACCCCCUGUUUGCCUAAGCCCAGGCCGUUGUGUCUAGCCUGUAUUGUGAAUGGGAAUCCAUGG